GGGCUUGUAGCUCAGUUGGUUAGAGCAGCAGACUCAUAAUCUGAAAGUCGUAGGUUCAAACCCUUCCUGGCCCA
rnacentral:tRNA from 1 species